UGUGGCAGUUGGAGUCAGGCAGGGGAAGCCACAGGUUGGCUGGCCAAGCCAUGGCAGCAACCAGGAACUCUGCAGGGGCCUGAAGUCUCUACCAUGGUUUUGGAGGAACGACGUGACGCUUUCCAGAUUCAGACACAGAGGCACAAUCAAUUACAAGGGAGUUGGGUGCCGGAUGCUUCAAAAGAUGCUGGGAAGCCUCUAAACGUGGCCUGUGAAGGCGUGCUCGCUGUGGAGUCCAAAAGCGACAAGAGCGACUGAGUCGUAGAUGGAUGCAGGCCUAUUUCGUUGUCUUGAGGAUCCCCUUCGAUAUCGAAGGUUGGAGGUGGGGAUCGAUAUCGAGGAGUGACAUGACUGGACGUCGUAAGCAGCGGCGUGUGUAGCGACAGAGCAGAGCUGGGUCCCGGAGCCGUCGGCGUUGAAGGCGGGGAGGAUGGAACCGGUGUCGGAGCAGGCGAGAGGGAUCUUGCUAAAUUCUCCAAAUCUAACCACCUUCACAGGCUUUAUUUAAUUGCAUUUUUCUCUCAUCAUUUCCUUUGAAAGGCUCAGAAUGAUGCCAACAUGGUGAAUGCAUGCACAGGAAAAACAUAAAAUGAUGUUUCCACCACUGUGUCAUGUACAAGUAGACUGGUGCUCUCUCUUUCUCUUCUCUGAAAGUCCAAAGCCCAUGGGAAAACAAAAAAAAAAGCUUCACUUUGAUCACCACAAUCUUCUGCACUGAAGCACAACAGCUGCAUUCAAAAAGCACCACCACCUUUCCUGUGGGAGACAGGAAGCCAAAACAAAAGCAUGCUUGACAUUUCUAUUUAGGCGCAGGGUGCAGCAAUUUUAAUCGAGCCACAGCUGAAAGCAAGAACUGAGCAGAGCUCACAUCAAAUGCUGCAGGCUGUUCAAUGAGCCUGGCUGUCGGGAUCCAUUUUCCAUCUCCAGUGUGGCAGGGCAGUUUGGCCACAGAGCUUCCUAAAACACCUGUCAAGCGCCACUGAAGAGGAACAAGUGGUUAGUGACUCACCCACACCGCCCCCAGCCUCACACAUCAAGGCCAGUCCCUGGAGAGGUCUCCUGGUGCAGAGAGGCUCAUUGAGAGGCUUGCUCAGCUCCAGAGCACUGAAGAGGCUGCAACUCAAGUGACACCCUGUUCCAAGUAUUUGACAUCAGACAAACAAUAUAUUGUCAAACA